AGACAGUGCACGUAACUGGUCAGAGAGUGUCUGGAGUCUGUCUGAAACUGAUAAAAAUUGGUGAUGGAGUUUUAAGACUCUCGCUCCAUAUCCAUUCGAAAAACGGAGAAAACGGAAUGGGACUACGUGUUUUUUUUAUCAGCGAGCAAUGUUAGAUUAUUUCGUUGUCAAAAAUCAACAUAGUGUUGUAACGCAUCCAAAGUUUUAUUCAGUGUUUAUCACCAGACAAUUCAUUAAUUCACAGCCCUCGUCCAGUGAAGGCGUGAUGAAGAUGAUGUCGUUCCAUGAAAUAUGUCUACAGCCAUAGAGCAGGUGACGCCGCUUUGAUCUGUGUGGCGUGGAGAGGACCCUGGCUUGGGUCUGGCCAUCCAAGGGCCUGGUGUGAAAUUGGCCUGAUGUCAUCCCCAUUCUGCUGCGUUUACAGCCCUCCCUCCUCUUAAUGAUGUUUCCGCACCUCUGAGGCGGAAUCCACUCAGGGAAGAGCUGCGAGAAAUGCUUAGAGCACUCUGGGUAAAAAACUUGUGUGAGUGAGUGAGCAGGAGGGGUGGGCAAGUGGGGGGAAGGUUAGCGUGAGGGGUGUGGGGUGAGACCAUUGUAUGGGAGGUAGACAAGUGGACAUCAAUACCCCUCCAUUUUUCCUCUUUUUUCCUUCUCCUUCCAUUUUCCUUUGUCCCGAGCGAGUGCUAUCCGAACUUUUCCUUCAUGUAGUCUGGUGAAGUUGAACGCUGAAGAAAAACUCUGAGGUGGAAGUUGUUUCUGCUCGCCAUCGCCUAAUAAAACGAAUUCCAUUAUGUUGUGUAGGUUUGUG
rnacentral:lncRNA from 1 species